CGCUUCCCAGGUGAGGCAAUGCCUCGCCCUGCUUCGGCUCGUGCACGUUGCGCACACCCACUGGCCUGCGCCCACUGUCUGGCACUCCCUAGUGAGAUGAACCCGGUACCUCAGAUGGAAAUGCAGAAAUCACCUGUCUUCUGCGUCGCUCACACUGGGAGCUGUAGACCGGAGCUGUUCCUAUUCGGCCAUCUUGGCUCCUCCUCUAUCUACACAUCUUUGAAAGAUGGCACCUUCUCACUGUGUCCUCAGAUGGCAGAGAAGAGGAAGCUAACUCUCUUGGGACUCUUAUUGGCAUGUAUUGAGUACCUGUAAUGGAUCAGACAUGGUGCUAGGCACUUGGGACACCAUGGUCAGCAAUUCCAAAGGGGGAUCUAUGGAAUAAAGAGAACUAACUCAUAUCACAGCCAUCUGGUGAGAAGUCCUAUACACAGCUCUGUUUUCUUCCUUUUCUCUCAUACGUCAUCUACCACUGACUUCCAGCUCCAUGAGCACUUUUCUGAGGCUGAGGCUUGCCAUGUGGAACUUUUUGCACAAAUACUGCCACUCGUCACUUACUGUGCCCACCAUGUUUGACACCGGCUUUCCUUAUCCAUGAAUGACUUAACACCAAGACUCAUUCACUCAGAAUGGUUGAGGCUCAGGUCUUCCUCUUCUCCACUGCUUUUGUCGAACGUGUUCAAAAGGAUUUGAAACCAACUAUUGGAGGAAGAAAAUCAAUCACUCUCCUUUGUCUCCUAUUGGGACCACUGCCCCACCCCCCCCAACAAAAGGAUAAAUUCCUGGAAAGUGUAAAGGGAAGAAAGCCCCUCCAUUGGGAAAUAGGUUGGUGUCAGGCUACUUGCUUGUCUGAUUCUUCACAAUGAUAAAGGCCAGCAGAGAAAGUUCAGUGCAAAAGUUCAUCAGCCACCAGGCCAUCAGGAGCAUCUAUUGAUCAAAUCAAAUGUUCACUUCAAACUGCGUUUCUUAACCUGCAGGUGUAGAAUCACCCAUAACAGAUACAGUCACACCUAUCUCUGCACAUACUUGUACGUUCAGGACAACCUGAUGUAUUACAAUUAACAACAUGGUGUCAGUACUGCAGAAGGAUUCACUUGUAUAAAAUAUCCACCAGAGAAAUCGCCUGGAAGUUACUUUCUAAUCUCCUUGACUCUUCCUCGGUACCUUGUGGAAUAGAUGUGGGCUGGGGUAUAGCUUCUGGAUGGUCAUAUAAAUUGAACAGAGGAUAAGUGGAGCCCUUUUUUCAUCUCUUCCAAAAUAUGAAACAUUGCACUGAUCUCGGUGGAAAUAAAUGCCAAAGAGGUAAGUGUUUCAAGAAAUGAAAGCCUUUUUUUAUCUAAAAUAAUUCAUUUGUGUCUUAUUUAUUUCAACAACAGCUUUAAGCUCCUAGAACACGCUGUGUCAAGCACUAUGCUAACCAGGUACAUUCAGAAAAGCCUGAUACAAUAUAAUAAAAUGCCCUCAAAUAAUUCAAAGCCCAAGUAUUUUGUAUGAGUCAAUGGAGAGAAAGGGCAGUCAUGGCAGCAAGAAAUGUAACUGAAUAUCUAAACUAUUGAGAAAUUGUGAUAUAAGGCCUUUCAUGGGUCCUGUGCUCCUGCCCAACUCUUACAUCUGCAAAGUUUAAAUGUAGAACUUGGGGUGAUUUUUCCACGGAGCACACAUGAUGUUUCCCCUAAAAUGAGAGAGGAUUUCUACCAACUAAAGAUAUUCUAAUUCCUACAUCAAAAGUUCAUUGAAACUUUUUUUUUUUUUUUUGAGACAGUCUUGCUCUGUCGCCCAGUCUGGAGUGCAAUGGCGGGAUCUCAGUUCAACCCAACCUCCGCCUCCCAGGUUCAAGGGAUUCUCUUGCCUCAGCCUCCCCAGUAGCUAUGAUUACAGGCACCCGCCACCAUGCCCAGCUAAUUUUUGUAUUCUUAGUAGAGACGGGGUUUCACCAUGUGGGUCUUGAACUCCUAAGCUCAGGUGAUCCACCCGCCUCGACCUCCCAAAGUGCUGGGAUUACAGGCGUGAGCCACCCAUUGAAACUUAAUAUGGAGGAAAGCACUGUGUUUGGGGUUGGAAGGAUAUAAAGGGAAUCAAGUAGGAUCUCUGCACUCUGGUAGUUUGAUGCCUUGUCCUCAUGGGAUUCACAGAGCAGUCAAGGAGACCAAAAUAAUUGCUCGCUAGAGGUAGAAACUUCACAUUUGGAAGCACAGAGAAUCAGGAAAACUCUAAAGUGGAAGCAAAAAGUUUCAGCUCAUUUUAAAAUUUGAUUCUAAUUUCGACGAGCGAUCGCUUGAGAUGGAAGUGACAUCCAUCCUGUCCUACAGGGCAGGCAGAUGCAGCUUGUUACAGGAGGCCAGCUUAAGAGAAGAUGAGAAUUGAUUUCCUUACAGAGCAAUGUUAACAAUUUUGCAACUUAAUUGUAAUUCUUAAAGUCAGAUCAUUUAAGAGCGGAGGAAAAGAUUUUUCUGGAGAAGAAGCUCAAUUUAAUAAAUCCUUUGCCGAGGGAUUUGCUCAAACUUUUGGUACUCACCCAAGCAUUUGUCUGAAAAGAGUUUUGUCUUCUCUCGCCAUUGUUGCAAGAUACUGGUAAGGAAAGCUGUUUGAACUUCCUCAAAACAUCAACAUUUAAUACUCCUUAAGUUUCCAACAGGAAAACGAGGUAAGUUAAUAUUUUCCCAUGUUGAUACAUAAUUGAAUUAGAGUUUUACUUAACUUAAUAAAUUGCCACCUGGGGUAAUAGAACCAUGAACAGCACUUAAUUUCAGGUCUGCAUUAACUGUGCUUUCUCACUGCCCCGGUCUGAGUGCCUGUUACCACGGCUCCCAAAGGCAUCAGGGUAAGAAAAUCAUUUUCAAGAAAGUUCUGGGAACAAACUGUGUUAGCUUGGGGAGGCUGAAGGUGGGAAAUUAGGGUCAUGUUCAUGCCUGAGUGCACUGUACCAUAACACACACUGUGGUUGUAGUUUAUAUUAUAAUACGUCAAGACUAAGGAGGUACUCCCGGCUCAGAUCAGGUAGUCCUCUGCAACUAUCUAGACCAGCGAUGUACAGUGCAUCUCCAGCUUUAUAUUGCUGGGAGGAGAACUGGACUUCCAAAAGUUUUGAUGUAACUUCACUCAUGAAGAUUUACUAUGCUCAGUUCCACUGGUGAAACCCUUUAUGAAGAACUCAGAAAGGUACGCUUCGGUUUUUGUCAGAUUUGUUGGCAAUCUCUCUGUGCCACCUGCCUUCUGUAACCUUUAGAUAAGUAAACCCAGGAGUGGUGAAGCCUGAUCUCUCCAUCAAUCUCAAGUUACUAUUGACUCAAGGUUCAUUCUAACUCCACCAUAACCCAAUUUUUAAAAACAAAAAUGUCUUUGCUGAGAUAAUAAAGAAGAAACAUCAUGAGUUUCUACAAAUACCUUCAAAAGACAGAAUCCAAACAGAGUUCUCCCAGCCUUCCAAUCACUGCUGCUAUCCAACUUUGGCCACCAUUUGGAGAGCAGGUUGGAAACAGGAUGGGCAAGAUUGAACAGGAGGAAGGCCAUGCUCCCAUGCAUGUGAAAAGACCAUGGACACACACAAAAGCACACUCAACUGCAUCUUGAUACCUCCCAAAAGCAAACUCCUGCAGAGAACUUCAGGAUGAACAUAUGUUUGCUUCAUUACGGAGCUUAGGAUAUUCUAUACCUAUCUGAACUUCUGAACUAUACAGAUCAGUUAGACGGCUUCAAAUCAUCAUGGUGCUUUUUUAGGAAUUCCAAAUUACUGAUGCUAUAAGGAUUCUGCCAUAUUCUCAUUCCCUUUCUCAUUCCCAAGGGUCCUGAGAAAUUAUGCAUUUGGGUCAUUCCCAAAAUGCAUGAUUUCUCAGGACCCUUGGGAAUCACCAUUGUUAUUUUUUGGGAAUCCUAAAUUACUGAUGCUAUAAGGGUCCUGAGAAAUCAUGCGUUCUACUAGUUUUUAAUUUGGGCAUGGGAGAAAGGUAUUUGAGCACAUAAUGAAAGCCAGAGGCCCUUUCUCUAGUUAACAGUUGUAUAUACACAUACACAAGCAAAGGAGCAAAAUUUUGUGUACAAAUCUCAAAUCUCCCAGAUCUCCUGAAGUCCACCCAUGAUUAUCCUGGUGGGGCAUGAACCCCAGCUGAGAUCAUGUGAUCUAACCAACCCCAUAUUUUUUUAAAUUAAAAAAAUUAAAAACCUGAAGUCCAAAAGGAUUCCAGCAAGAUUAAGUAACUUGCUCAACAAAACACAUUUGUCAACUGGGAACGAAACCCAUAUCAUCUGACUCCUAGUUAAAUUCUAUUUCCCCUAGUAACUUGUUUUUCUGUCUUCCAUUGUCUUCGUGGUAAAACAGGAUGUUACUUGCCUACUUCAUGGGAUUCUUAGAUGGAAUAUUUACUAAAACUUUUGCACAUCAUAAAUAUUUGGGCCAGACAUAGUGGCUUACACCUGUAAUCUCAGCACUUUGGGAGGCCAAAAAAUAGGAGGAUUACUUGAUUCCAGGAGUUUGAGACCAGCCUUGGCAACAUGGUGAAACCGCAUCUCUACAAUACAAAAAUUAGCUGGGUGUGGUGGCACAAGCCUGUAGUCUCGGCUACCCAGGAGACUGAGGCGGGAGGAUCAUCUGAGCCCAGGAGGCAGAGGUUGCAGUGAGCAGAGAUCGCACCACUGUACUCCAGUGCACUCCAGCUCAGGCAACAGAGUGAGACCCUGUCUCAAAAAAUAAUUAAUUAAUUAAUAUUUGCAAGUAAUUCCUCCCCACAAAACUUGAAUGUUUGUCAUUAUUUGCAUGAUAUUAAUAACAGCUACCCUCAUUACAGAUGAAUUAGGCAAAUCAUCUUUUUUAAAAAAAAAAAAAACCUUGUAGUGUUAUUAUUACUAGGCAAAUAGUCGUUAGUAUACAACAGUUCUUACAUUGUGUACUCAGAUUUGGUUAUGAUAAACUCAACACAGCUACAGCCUAAAUGAAUUUAUAUAAAACACUGACAGAGGCUAAAGUUAUUAUAGCUUUAGUCCCAUUUCUAUUUAGAAGAGUGUAGAAAUAUUUUUCCUCAGGAGAAAAAAAAUGAAAUGUAGACAUGAUUUGGGGUUUGGGGGGUGUUUCGUGUUUGGUUUUCCCAGGUGCCCCAAAUUAAACUAACUCACACUUUCUGGCUAUCACUCAAACUGAGUUGACUUGGCUACUGCUUUCCCAGAUCCUCUAAAAACUAAAGGAUUUUCUUCUGGCAUUUUAAUCAGUGAUUAACUACUCCCUUCUUUUUCCUGCUGGGUUAAGUAAAAGAUCCAUAUGCUGGGUGUUCUAGGGAAUUUGUUAGGCUAUAGAUCACAGCCGUGGUGCCAGCCAUGAUGUGUCUCAAGGGAACUAAAGAAGCCAUAAGGAAUGUCAAGAGUCACCGGGUUAAAGCCACAUUAAGACAGCUGUUACGUUAAUGAAGGCCCUGCUUCGAAGAGGAGGUCACUAUAUGGAAAAGUAUGAACUACUGUUUAUUGGUUUGAUCCCAUGUCCUCUGAAAGUUAAUGGGCCAUUAUUAUUAUCCUUUGACAUUCAUUGAGCCAGAUGAGAAUGCUGGGUGCUGUACAAGCUACAUGGGUUUGAAAUAUAUUCUGUCUCCAUCCUUAGUUUUGACAAAGGCAGGAAUGAAAGAGAACAACACCGAACACUCCUCAGUUUUCCAUCACACUCCUUGUCUGAUCUAUUUACAAUAAAUGUUUAUUUUUCCUUACUCACAUUGAGUUCAGAGCUGAUACUCGGCCUAUUUUAAAAAUAGAUCUAGUGCCAGUGGCUCACACCUGUAAUCUCAACACUUUGAGACGCUGAGGAGGGAGGAUCACUUGAGUCCAGGAGCUCAAGACCAACCUGAGCAACAUAGCAAGACCCCAGCUCUACAAAAAAAUAGAAAAAUAAUUAGCCAGACAUGGUGGCACACAUCUGUAGACCCAGCUACUCUGGAAGCUGAGGUGGAAGAAUCACUUGAGCUUGGAAGAUCGAGGCUACACAGUGAGCCAUGAUUAAGCCACUGUACUACAGGCUGGGCAACAAAGUGAGACUCUGUCUCAAAAAACAAACAAACAAACAAACAAAAAAGCAGAUCUAGUAGGUGGGCUUGGCCAGUUACAGAGGACAGGUACCAAAUCCUGGAAUAUAGUGGCCACUCAAAAGAGGCAUGAUUGGACCUCACAUAACAUUUGCAGGUAAUUGCAGAACUAUAAUAAAAGCAAAGUAGAUUUGAAACAUAUUAUUUAUAACAUUGUUAUAUAUAAUAUACUAUUAUAUGAUUUAAUUUGUCUGCCCUUUUGAUUGUGAUACAGAUUUUUUCUCUGCACUGUUAUAUUAAUAUGCAUGUUAAUAUCAUAACAUUGAUAUAGUAAUAUUAAUGUUAUGUUAAUAUAAUAUUUAUAUAGUAUUAUAUAAUAUUACUAUAUCAAUACUGUAUUAAAAUAUUUUUCUAUUGAAAUAUUAUGACUUAGUUAAUAAAGGUUAUUUCUACACUGUGUGGUGGGGAGAAACACUCUGUUUCCCAAUGAUAAUAGGUUUCCCAACUUUAAAACACCAGCUCUGUGAACCUUGGUCUAUCUACAACUCUUCCUUUCACUCACCUUCCUCCCCACUUCUAGAUUACACAAUCGGUUGUCCAUUCUACCUCUGAAUACCUUCACCACCAUCUCUUCCUUGCCAUUCCCACUGCCACUACCUAUCUCAUGCCAUAGCCCCCACUCCCUGUCACAUCAAAUGUGAGCUCACUGGCCUGAAACCCAAGACCUCCAUAGGAUAUCCUCAGCCUACCUACCAAACCCUAUUUCUUCCACCACCCUACCACUCCUUACAUUCUAAUCAAACUAACUAUUCUCCCAAUAUGACUAGAGUGAAAAAGAAAGGUUAUCUUACGUGUAGCCCACCACUUCUACCUCUCUGUGCCUCUGCUCAUAUAAUUCCCUAUUACUAAUAUACUCUCCUUAUGCACCUGGUCCAGUGAAUAUCUAUCUAGCCCGGAAAGUUCAUCUUAAAUCUGCCCUCUGGGCCCAGCACAAUGGCUCAUGCCUAUAAUCCCAGCACUUUGGGAAGCCAAGGCAAGUGGAUCGCUUGCACCUGGGAGUUCAAGAAGAGCCUGGGCAACAUGGCAAAAUCCCAUCUCUUCAAAAAAUUAUCCAGGCAUAGUGGCAUGCACCUGUAGCCCCAACUAUCUGGGAGGCUGAGGUGGGAGGAUCACCUGAGCUCAGGAGGUGUAGGCUUCAGUGAGCUGUGAUUGUACCACUGUACUCCAACCUGGGCUACAGAAUGAGACCCUGUCUCAAAAAAAAAAAAAAUUAAAUCUGCCUUCUUCAUGUACCUCUCUUCAUUCCUUCAAGAUCUCAUCCCUUGAGUUCAUGUCCUUUGCAGGGACAUGGAUGAACCUGGAAACCAUCAUUCUCAGUAAACUAACACAGGAACAGAAAACCAAACACUGCAUGUUCUCACUCAUGAGUGAGAGUUGAACAAUGAGAACACAUGGACACAGGGAGGGGAAAAUCACACACCAGGGCCUGUUGGGGGGUGGGGGGCUAGGGGAGGGAUAGCAUUAGGAGAAAUACCUAAUGUAGAUGACGGGUUGAUGGGUGCAGCAAACCACCAUGGCACGUGUUAUACCUAUGUAACAAACCUGCCCCUUCUGCACAUAUAUCCCAGAACUUAAAGUAUAAUUUUUUAAAAAAAGGUUGGGCAUGGUGGCUCAUACCUGUAAUCCCAGCACUUUGGGAGGCCAAGGCGGCCAGAUCACGAGGUCAGGAGUUCGAGACCAGCCUGACCAACAUGGUGAAACCCCAUCUCUACUAAAAAUACAAAAAUGAGCCGGGCCUGGUGGCAAGCACCUGUAAUCCCAGCUACUUGGGAGACUGAGUCAGGAGAAUCGCUUGAACCCAGGAGGCAGAGGUUGCAGUGAGCUGAGGUUGUACCACUGCACUCCAGCCUGGGUGACAGAGUGAGACUCCACCUCAAAAAAAAAAAAAAAAAAAAAUCUCAUCCUUUCCUCUUCUCAACUCCCAUUGCACUUUUUCUCUUUCUGCACUUAUCAUGUCUGUGUUAUUUUUAAAUUAUUUGUAUGUUUAUUUUUUUACCUUUCUUAGAUUGCAACUCCUUCAGAGAACUGUCUUAAUUGAUCUUAGCAUUCCUUGACUUUCCUAGCACUAUGAUGAUCAUAUGGAAGUUUGAAGAAAACAAUCUCUCUGACUGAGCUCUGCAGCCUGGAAGAGGCUAUUUCUGUAAAAUUCUGUAAUAGGAGAGUUAAUUAGCUGCAUCUAUGAACGUGUUGAUCAAUCUAGGGACCAUGUCAACUGACUAGUCCACUGCUGAGUCCCCAGCCUGCAAAUUAAGAAUCUGGAAAUAACACACAAUAUUUGCAGACAAGGUGACUUAACUUCUAGGGUGGUGAGGAGUUCGAGGAUACCCUACGAUAUCUGCCAUCUUUCAAACACUGUUUUACUAGCUCCAGGAAGUAGUUCUUCAUUAAUGAUGAAAACAUUAUUCUAUACUCUAUAGAAACAUAUUACAUCUAAGUAGCCUUUCCAGAAGGUUCAGAGCACCUCUAAGAGUUCAAAAGAUAAUUCAACAUGUUCUUUAAGUAAUAUAAUUUCUUGAAAUGCUUCUUAAUUAUAAAAUCGUUAAAUGAAGGAAUUUCAUGUUAUGCACCUUUGCACAUUUUCAUAAUUGAAAGGUCACAGAGAUGAAGCGUAUGGGAUCCAAUUAUCUCUAGACUCACUUUGCAGCUAUGCCACCUUGGGUAGUUACUUAUAUAGUCCAAGUCUCAGUUUCCUUAUUUGUAAAUGGAGAGUAGCAAUCAUGGUACCCACCUAGGAUUUUAAUAAUGAUUCAAUGGGUUAAUUCAUGUGAAGCACUUAAAAUAGUGGCUGGGACAGAGUAACCACUCAAAAUUUAUUUGCUCUUACUUGUGUAUCACCCCCAAAGUCCAUAUAGUGCUGGUGUACAAUAAGGAUUCCUGAAAAGUUGAGUUAGUCACAUGAAGUGGUGGACUUCUGUGUGUCGUAAAUGAUAUAGUUGUAUUCUGUCAGUAAAUAAUCAAAGUCCUAACAAUAUGCAUCCCUAGUAAAGGGCCAUUCCUAAUACAUUUUUGGGGGGGAUUGACAUAUGUUUUAGAUGAGAAGAUGCUUGUUUGUUUCCUGUCUGGACUGAAGUAGGACACGGAG
rnacentral:lncRNA from 10 species